GGCUGGUCUGAGUGCAGUGGUGUUCACAACUAAUUGAUCACAGCUAGUUACGGAUUCCUUUGUUCCUUCUCCACUCACACUGCUUCACUUGACUAGCCUUAA
ensembl:misc_RNA Y_RNA Y RNA